UACGGAGGGUGCAAGCGUUACCCGGAAUCACUGGGCGUAAAGGGCGUGUAGGCGGUUAUUUAAGUCUGGUUUUAAAGACCGGGGCUCAACCCCGGGGAUGGACUGGAGACUGGAUGACUAGACCUCUGGAGAGGCAAUCGGAAUUCCUGGUGUAGCGGUGGAAUGCGUAGAUACCAGGAGGAACACCGGUGGCGAAGGCGGCUUCCUGGCCGAGUACUGACACUCAUGCACGAAAGCGUGGGGAGCAAACGGG
rnacentral:rRNA from 1 species